rnacentral:rRNA from 1 species
UACGUAGGGGGCAAGCGUUGUCCGGAAUUAUUGGGCGUAAAGAGCGUGUAGGCGGCCAGGUAGGUCUGCUGUGAAAACUCGAGGCUCAACCUCGAGACGUCGGCGGAAACCAUCUGGCUAGAGUCCGGAAGAGGAGAGUGGAAUUCCUGGUGGUAGCGGUGAAAUGCGCAGAUAUCAGGAAGAACACCCGUGGCGAAGGCGGCUCUCUGGGACGGUACUGACGCUGAGACGCGAAAGCGUGGGGAGCGAACAGG